rnacentral:lncRNA from 1 species
UUCUGUAUGAGCUUUCGUAACGUUCGGUUGUGUGACAGUUCAGUGUGGAAGUGAUAAUUCAAAAAAAAACGCAGGCGACAAAAACAAAAUAGGAACUACAUAAUAGAGCUACAGAAAAACAAGAAGAAGGACAAGGACCACAUAGGACCAAAAAAAAAAAAAAUAGAUCUGAAGUUGACAGGACACCUGGUUGUGCAUUGCCUUGAGCAAGACGCGCAUAACCAAUAACAUGUACUGGGUAAAUGAUUAAAAAAAAAUCGAAACCCAAAAAAAA